AGUGAACGCUGACGGUAGGCCUAACACAUGCAAGUCGAACGGCAGCACAGUAAGAGCUUGCUCUUACGGGUGGCGAGUGGCGGACGGGUGAGGAAUACAUCGGAAUCUACUUUUUCGUGGGGGAUAACGUAGGGAAACUUACGCUAAUACCGCAUACGACCUACGGGUGAAAGCAGGGGAUCUUCGGACCUUGCGCGAUUGAAUGAGCCGAUGUCGGAUUAGCUAGUUGGCGGGGUAAAGGCCCACCAAGGCGGCGAUCCGUAGCUGGUCUGAGAGGAUGAUCAGCCACACUGGAACUGAGACACGGUCCAGACUCCUACGGGAGGGAGCAGUGGGGAAUAUUGGACAAGGGGCGCAAGCCUGAUCCAACCAUACCGCGUGGGUGAAGAAGGCCUUCGGGUUGUAAAGCCCUUUUGUUGGGAAAGAAAAGCAGCAGGUUAAUACCCCGCUGUUCUGACGGUACCCAAAGAAUAAGCACCGGCUAACUUCGUG
rnacentral:rRNA from 1 species